GCUAGGUGUUGUGGCUCACGCCCGUAGUCCCAGCUACUGGGGAGGCUGAGGCAGGAGGAUUGCAAAUGGAAGGGCAGUCUCAGCAACUUAGGGAGACCCUGUCUCAA
rnacentral:sRNA from 1 species